rnacentral:rRNA from 1 species
AGCGAACGCUGGCGGCAUGCCUAACACAUGCAAGUCGAACGAACCUUUCCGGGUUAGUGGCGGUCGGGUGAGUACCACGUGGGAACGUGCCCUUAGGUUCGGUAUAACUCAGGUUAACUUGUGCUAAUACCGCAUGUGCUCUUCGCGGGUAAGAUUAGUCGCCGUUAGAUCGGCCCGCGUCUGGUUAGCUAGUUGGUUGUGGUAAUGGCUCACCACGGCGUCGAUGAGUAGCUGGUCGGUGAGGAUGCUCAGCCACAUUGGAGAUGAGACACGGCCCAAACUCGGACGCGAGGCAGCAGAGGAGAGUCUUGUGCGAGGGAGGAUAGCGUAGCACAGCCAUGCGGGGUGAAUGAUGAAGGUGGUAGGAAUGUACUUUUCUUUGACCGGAGACGAGAGUGACGGUAAUCGGAGAAGAAGCACCGGCUAACUACGUG